rnacentral:rRNA from 1 species
CUUGCCUGCCCACUGUAAUAGAUAAAUGGCCGCAGUAUUUUGACUGUGCUAAGGUAGCAUAAUCAUUAGUUUUUUAAUUGAAAGCUAGAAUGAAGGGUAGAAUGAAAAAGUAUCUUUUUUUAAAUAAUUUAAUUAAAAUUUUAUUUUUAAGUAAAAAAGCUUAAAUGUUUAUUAAAGACGAGAAGACCCUAUAGAGUUUUAUAUUAAAAUAAUUAUCAUAAUUUUGUAUUUUAUUUUUUCAAUUAAUUUUAGUAUUCAAUUGGGGUGAUUUAAAAAUUUAGUUAACUUUUUUUAAAUUUAAUUUAUAUUUAUAAAUAGAUAAUUGAUCCUAAAAGUUAGAUUAUAAGAAUAAAUUACCUUAGGGAUAACAGCGUAAUUUUAUUAAAGAGUUCAAAUCGAAAAUAAAGAUUGCGACCUCGAUGUUGGAUUAAAAUUUAUAUUUGGUGAAGAAAUUAAAUAU